CACGCCGUAAACGAUGUCUACUCGGAAUUUGGUGUCUUGAACACUGGGUUCUCAAGCUAACGCAUUAAGUAGACCGCCUGGGGAGUACGGCCGCAAGGUUAAAACUCAAAUGAAUUGACGGGGGCCCGCACAAGCGGUGGAGCAUGUGGUUUAAUUCGAUGCAACGCGAAGAACCUUACCUACUCUUGACAUCCAGAGAAUUCGCUAGAGAUAGCUUAGUGCCUUCGGGAACUCUGAGACAGGUGCUGCAUGGCUGUCGUCAGCUCGUGUUGUGAAAUGUUGGGUUAAGUCCCGCAACGAGCGCAACCCUUAUCCUUAUUUGCCAGCACGUAAUGGUGGGAACUUUAGGGAGACUGCCGGUGAUAAACCGGAGGAAGGUGGGGACGACGUCAAGUCAUCAUGGCCCUUACGAGUAGGGCUACACACGUGCUACAAUGGUCGGUACAGAGGGUUGCGAAGCCGCGAGGUGGAGCUAAUCUCACAAAGCCGGUCGUAGUCCGGAUUGGAGUCUGCAACUCGACUCCAUGAAGUCGGAAUCGCUAGUAAUCGUAGAUCAGAAUGCUACGGUGAAUACGUUCCCGGGCCUUGUACACACCGCCCGUCACACCAUGGGAGUGGGCUGCACCAGAAGUAGAUAGCUUAACCUUCGGGAGGGCGUUUACCACGGUGUGGUUCAUGACUGGGGUGAAGUCGUAACAAGGUAGCCCUAGGGGAACCUGGGGCUG
rnacentral:rRNA from 1 species